rnacentral:rRNA from 1 species
GAUGAACGCUAGCUACAGGCUUAACACAUGCAAGUCGAGGGGUAACGAGAGGAAAGCUUGCUUUCCUUGUCGACGACCGGCGCACGGGUGAGUAACGCGUAUCCAACCUGCCCCCAACUAAGGAAUAACCUUGCGAAAGUAAGACUAAUACCUUAUAAUUUCCUCAGAUGUCAUCUGACGAGGAAUAAAGAUUUAUCGGUUGUGGAUGGGGAUGCGUCUGAUUAGCUUGUUGGCGGGGUAACGGCCCACCAAGGCAACGAUCAGUAGGGGUUCUGAGCGGAAGGUCCCCCAGAUUGGAACUGUGCAACGGUCCAAACUCCUACAGGAGGCAGCAGUGAGGAAUAUUGGUCAAUGGGCGAAAGCCUGAACCAGCCAAGUAGCGUGCAGGAUGACGGCCCUAUGGGUUGUAAACUGCUUUUAUACAGGAAUAAAGUUAGCCACGUGUGGUUAUUUGUAGGUACUGUAUGAAUAAGGACCGGCUAAUUCCGUGCCAGCCGCCGCCGUAA